CUGGCCCCUCUACCCGCUCGCCUCUCUAUGGUUCCCCCAUCUCCCCAGGCCCAGCCGUCCGCCUUGUUAAAACUUCUCCUUCUCUAAGCUCCUCAGCAUUGGAGCCAGCGGGUCCUAGGCGGGUUGGGUCGGCUAUCCGGGCUGCCUCUCUGGUCCAGCCGAGAGGAAACGGCGGCCAGUGUGAGUGCUUUUAGGAAAGGCCCGGGCCGUGACUGGGGAGAGUCCCUGGGAAAAAGGAGCGCGUUUCGGGCCCUUUGCGAAAACGCUCCGGCUGGAAACACAAGGCUCCGAGAGGAAGGAGCCGCUCUCCGCUCUGACCCACCCCACCCCCUUCACGCUGGGAACCAACGGGGAGAUCGGGACGUGCCCACCUCAUCACACAGACGAAAACCUCAGGCGCCAGAAUGGGGAGGAACUCGCUCAGAACCAGCCAGGAGCCAGCUGGGGCUCCCGACUCUCGGUUCUGGGAACCUCCGUGUUUUUCUGUUUGAAGAUAGGCGGGGUAGGUAGCGACAAGAAGGGUCCUGAGAGAGGCGUGGAGGACCCCCACAAUCCGGUUCCAAGCCGGAGUCCAGUCUUACCUCUCAGGAUUCCCCCUUUCGUGUAGCAAAGCGGAUGUGAUUCUUUCCCUUAAAAGUCGUUAAACGUAGCUGUUCAGGUGGGUUUACCACGAAGCUAACAAAGCUUAAGCUUCCGAGGCUCCUCGCGGGCACGACCACUUCUCUACCUAGUGGGUGUCAACAAUUCAAAGAAUAUUUAAGAUUAGUCACUGCUCAAAAAAGUUUGCCAUGCCUUGUAAACUUAAAUUCAUACCUGAAAGAAACGUGAUUUUGAUUUUCCCAAACUUGACCGUGCUAAAUCUGCAACUGUCCUGAAUCUGAAAUAAAACUUGCUUAAACUGUAAAUUGUUGUGGUAUGAAAUACAGAUCGAAGGAUGCAGGGAGGAAAGUGUUACAGAGCUGUGUAAGGCUGUAAAUUAAUAAAAAUGUUUUGUAUGCUUUAUAAUUGGAGGUUGCAUAUGGUAAUUAUCAUCUUGUAAAUGUCAUUAGGUGGGAUUUAUUUUCUCAUGCUAAAUGUUCGCUUGCGUAUCUUAUUUUGUAUUUUUAGCUUACUACUCUUGUUCUUAAUUGGAUAAGCUUUGCUUUCUGCAAAAUCUGGACCUACCUCCCCUCACAGUCAGUGAGCGCUCAAUAUAUAUUAGCUAUUAUUGUUAAUGUUAUUGUUACUUUGCAGAUCGAACAGGAAGGUUUGAGGAGGAUCUCUGAGGAUUACUAUUGGCGUAGGACUUCAGACGGCCAUUGUUACCAGCUACUUAUUCAUCUCUGUAUUCAUUUCACAUUCAAUACACUUAUGUGUUGAUUCACUAAUUCAAUUCGUGUGUACUGAAUAUCUGAAUACUCCCAGACACUAGUAUGGACGCCAGAGAUAUGGGAGGUGAAGAUGUGAACAUGGUGUCUACCUUCAGGGAACUUACAGUAUCAUGAGAAUUGUCAUGGAAUUGAUUUGAGGUUUUCAAAAUUCAGAUUACAAAAACAGUCUACAGGCUCCCACACCAACAUUUUAUUUUGAAAAAUUUCAAAUAUAUAGAAAAGUUGAAAGAAUUGCAUAGUGAACAUCCAUAUACUUAUCGUACCAGGUUUAUAGUUUUUAAAUAGCAUCUACAGUUUGAUCCUGAAAGGUCAUCAUGUUCAGCCAAUUAUUAUUAUUAUUUUGAGAUGGAGUCUUGCUCUGUCACCCAGGCUGGAGUGCAGUGGUGUGAUCUCGGCUCGCUGCAACCUCCGCCUCCUGGGUUCAAGCGAUUCUCCUGCCUCAGCCUCCUGAGUAGCUGAGAUUACAGGCACCCACCACCAUGCCUGGCUAAUUUUUGUAUUUUUAAUAGAGACGGGGUUUCACCAUACUGGUCAGGCUGGUCUCAAACUCCUGACCUCAGGUGAUCCUCCUGCCUUGGCCUCCCAAAGUGCUGGGAUCACAGGUGUGAGCCACUGUGCCCCGCCUCUUUGUAGUUUGUUUGAGACGGAGUCUCACUCUGUCGCCCAGGCUGGAGUGCAGUGGCCCAAUUUUGGCUCACUGCAACCUCUACCUCCUGGGUUCAAGCAAUUCUCCUGUCUCAGCCUCCCGAGUAGCUGGGAUUACAGGCGUGUGCCACCACGUAGGCCUGACUAAUUUAUUUAUUUGUUUGUUUACUUAGUUAGAGACAGGGUUUCACCAUGUUGGCCACGCUGGUCUGGAACUCCUGACCUCAGGUGAUCCACCCGCUUUGGCCUCUCAAAGUGCUGGGAUUAUAGGCGUGAGCCACCACGCCCGGCCUAUUUAGUUAGUUUUGAGACAGGGUCUGGCUGCUCUGUUGCCCAAGCUGGAUUGCAGUGGCACAGUCAUGGCUCACUGCAGCCUCAACCUCCUGGGCUCAGGUAAUCCUCCCACCUCAACCUGCUAAGUAGCUGCGACGACAGGCAUGCACCACUACGCCGGGCUUUUUUUGCUUUUGUUUUUUGGUUUUGUUUGUUUUGUUUUUGGUAGAGAUGGCUGUGGUGAUGUGUUGCCCAGGCUGGUCUGGAACUCCUGGGUUCAAGGGAUCCUCCUGCCUUUGCCUCCUAAAGUGCUAGAAUUAGAGGCAUGAGCCACUGAACCCCACCCAACUCACCCAUUUAAAGUGUAUAAUUCAAUAGUCAGUAUAUUCAUAGUUGUGUGCAAAUAUCACGAUGUCAACGUUAGAACACUUUCAUCACCUCAAAGAGAGAUCCCAUGCCCUUUAGGUAUCACUCCUCUAUUCUUCCUUCCCUCUAACUCUCUAUCCCUACCCACCCUAAGGAACCACAAAGCUACACUCUGCCGCUACAGAUUACCCUAUUCUGGUAUUAAUAGUCUUCUAAUAUGUGGUCCUUUGUGCCUGGCUUCUUUCACUUAAUCUAUUUUUAAAUUUUAUUUUAUUGACACAUAAUAUUUUACAUAGUUUGGGGUACAUGUGAGUAUUUGUGACACGCAUAGAAUGUGUAAUGAUCAAUCAAAUCGGGCAUUUGGGGUAACCACCAUUCUUGAGUGUUCAUCAUUUCUAUGUGUUGGGAACAUUUCAAGUGCUCUCUUCUAGCUACUUUGCAAUAUACAGACUGGGCACAGUGGCUCACACCUGUAAUCCCAGGACUUUGGGAGGCCAAGGCGGGUGGAUCACGAGGUCAGGAGUUCUAGACCAGCCUGGCCAAGGUGGUGAAACCCUGUCUCUACUAAAAACACAAAAAUUCGCCGGGCAUGCUGGUGGGCACCUGUGAUCCCACCUACUCAGGAGACUGAGGCAGGAGAAUUGCUUGAACCCGGGAGGCGGAGGUUGCCGUGAACCGAGAUCGCACCACUGCACUCCAGCCUGGGCAACAAGAGCAGAACUCCAUCGCAAAAAAAAAAGUAUGUCUUCUAUGUAGCUGUAUGUUGGUACCCAUUAACCAACCUUCAUUCGUCCCCGCUUCCACCACACACCCUUCCCAGCCUCUAAGUUAGCAUAAUGUUUUAAAGGUUCAUCCAUGUUGUCACACAGAUCAGUAUUUUACUCAUUUAUGGCCAAAUAGUAUUCCACUCUAUGGAUAUACCACAUGUUGUUUCUGGACAUUUGGGUCGUUUCUGCUUUUUGGCUGUUAUGAAUAAUACUGCUACAAGCAUUUGUUUACAAGUUUUUGUGUGAACAUACAUUUCAGGCUUCUUGGGUACAUAGAAAAAUGAAAGGGAGAGGAAUUGCAGAGCCAUCUAGCUAACUCUAUCAGCCAAUUUCUUUUAAAAGGCAGGAAAUCUAGGCUCCGUGAGGAGAAGUGAAGUGCUCAGGUUUUACAGGAAGGUAGAGAUGGAAAGAAGCGAGGCAAAUCUUCUGAUUCCAAGUCCAAGACUCUUCCUGCCAUUUUCUUUUUCUUUUUCGUUUUCUUUUCUUUUCUUUCUUUAAAUGGAGUCUUGCUCUGUCUCCCAGGCUGGAGUGCAAUGGUGCUAUCUGGGCUCACUGCAACCUCCGCCUCCCCGGUUCAAGCGAUUCUCCUGCCUCAACCUCCCGAGUAGCUGGGAUUGCAGGCGCCCUCCACCACGCCCCACUAAAAUCUUCCUGCAAUUUUCUAAUGGCUCCGUGUAGCAAGUCUUCUGGCCUCAAGUCAUGCAAUAGUCUGUUAGUGUUCUGCUAGGCACUGAGGGACUCAGAAACCAGACAACAGACGAAAAGGCAAGGAACCCAGAUUUGUUUUUAAAUUUUAAAAUUUUAUAUUUAUUUUAUGUUUAGUUUUUGAGACAGGAUCUUACUUUGUCACCCAGGCCAGAGUGCAGUGGCGUGAUCUUGGCUCACUGCAGCCUCAACUUCCCAAGUUCAAGCAAUCCUCCUGCCUCAGCUCCCCAAGUUGCUGGGACUACAGGCACGCUCCACUGUGCACGUUAAUUUUUGUAUUUUUAGUAGAGACGGGGCCACUAUGCUCAGCCAGAACCCACAUUUAUUGAGCACCAGUUGGUUCCAGGCAUCACAUAGACCUUCAGCAUUCUCAAUUGGUGGCAUUCUAACUACAACCCUGCCAAACGGCAUUAUGGUGCCCACUUUGUAGAUGUCAGCUAGACACUUAGAGGGGACGUUGCUUGCCCAGAGUUGCACAGCAAGUGGACAAAUGGAUCUGGACCCAGGUUUGCCUGAUUUGAAAGCUUAUGGUAAUUCCACUAAACAGUGCUCUCCUCUGUGAAUAUUUAAUAGCUUUAGCGGGGUUAGGGAGAAAAAAAGGGAAAAAAAAUACUCAAUAGCCUUAAGCUCUGGUACAAAAUUCUUCCACCUGCAUGAAUUCAAUUUCUCACUCGUUCAUUCACCAAACACUCACUGAGGCAUAUACGUGCCUUCUCUAUAGGGAUGCAGAGAUGACAUACUUCCAGCUCCCAAAAAAGGGAAACUGGGGGAUGAGUUCUGUGUGCUAUAAAUGAUCUCUUUUAAUAACGAGCUUCUCAGUAAGAAAUAGACCAGGCGCAGUGGCUCACGCCUGUAAUCCCAGCACUUCGGGAGGUUGAGGUGAGGCAGGCGGAUCACAAGGUCAGGAGAUCGAGACCAUCCUGGCUAACACGAUGAACCCCCGUCUCUACCAAAAAUACAGAAAAGCCAGGCGUGGUGGUGGGCGCCUGUAGUCCCAGCUACUCGGGAAGCUGAAGCAGGAGAUUUGCUUGAAUCAGGGAGGCGGAGGUUGCAGUGAGCUGGGAUCACGCCACUGCACUCCAGCCUGGGCUGUUUCUCAAAAAAAAAGAAAAGAAAUGAAAUGAAAUGAUUUCACACCAAGAGAUUACUGAAC
ensembl:lincRNA